rnacentral:rRNA from 1 species
UUUGGUGGUCAUGGCACAAGCGAAACACCCGAUCCCAUCCCGAACUCGGCCGUUAAGCGCUGUCGCGCCGAUGGUACUGCGUCCUAAGGCGUGGAGAGUAGGUCGCCGCCAAAC